rnacentral:rRNA from 1 species
CUCUGUGACUCCUACGGGAGGCAGCAGUGGGGAAUAUUGCACAAUGGGCGCAAGCCUGAUGCAGCCAUGCCGCGUGUAUGAAGAAGGCCUUCGGGUUGUAAAGUACUUUCAGCAGUGAGGAAGGCGGAGUCGUUAAUAGCGGCCUCGUUUGACGUUAGCUGCAGAAGAAGCACCGGCUAACUCCGUGCCAGCAGCCGCGGUAAUACGGAGGGUGCGAGCGUUAAUCGGAAUUACUGGGCGUAAAGCGCAUGCAGGUGGUUCGUUAAGUCAGAUGUGAAAGCCCGGGGCUCAACCUCGGAAUUGCAUUUGAAACUGGCAGACUAGAGUACUGUAGAGGGGGUAGAAUUUCAGGUGUAGCGGUGAAAUGCGUAGAGAUCUGAAGGAAUACCGGUGGCGAAGGCGGCCCCCUGGACAGAUACUGACACUCAGAUGCGAAAGCGUGGGGAGCAAACAGGAUUAGAUUCCCUGGUAG